CGGCCCCACCCGGCGCUUAUCUCCGGCACUCAUCAUGGCUUAGCUCUUGAAGGGGCUUAAGAAUAUU
rnacentral:sRNA from 2 species